rnacentral:rRNA from 1 species
CUGCCCUUGAAGUAGGGGAUAACACUUGGAAACAGGUGCUAAUACCGUAUAACAACCAAAACCACCUGGUUUUGGUUUAAAAGAUGGCUUCGGCUAUCACUUUAGGAUGGACCCGCGGCGUAUUAGCUUGUUGGUAAGGUAACGGCCUACCAAGGCAAUGAUACGUAGCCGACCUGAGAGGGUAAUCGGCCACAUUGGGACUGAGACACGGCCCAAACUCCUACGGGAGGCAGCAGUAGGGAAUCUUCCACAAUGGACGAAAGUCUGAUGGAGCAACGCCGCGUGAGUGAUGAAGGGUUUCGGCUUGUAAAACUCUGUUGUUGGAGAAGAACAGGUGUGAGAGUAACUGUUCACAUCUUGACGGUAUCCAACCAGAAAGCCACGGCUAACUACGUGCCAGCAGCCGCGGUAAUACGUAGGUGGCAAGCGUUGUCCGGAUUUAUUGGGCGUAAAGCGAGCGCAGGCGGUUUCUUAGGUCUGAUGUGAAAGCCUUCGGCUUAACCGGAGAAGUGCAUCAGAAACCAGGAGACUUGAGUGCAAAAGAGGACAGUGGAACUCCAUGUGUAGCGGUGAAAUGCGUAGAUAUAUGGAAGAACACCC